rnacentral:rRNA from 1 species
UACGUAGGGUGCGAGCGUUGUCCGGAAUUACUGGGCGUAAAGGGCGCGUAGGCGGUUGGAUAAGUCAGCUGUGAAAACCACGGGCUUAACUCGUGGCCUGCAGUUGAGACUGUCUGGCUUGAGUGUGGGAGAGGAGAGUGGAAUUCCUGGUGUAGCGGUGAAAUGCGUAGAUAUCAGGAGGAACACCGGUGGCGAAGGCGGCUCUCUGGACCACAACUGACGCUGAGGCGCGAAAGCUAGGGGAGCAAACAGG